UACGUAGGGUGCAGGCGUUAAUCGGAAUUACUGGGCGUAAAGCGUGCGCAGGCGGUCUCUUAAGACAGGUGUGAAAUCCCCGGGCUUAACCUGGGAACUGCGCUUGUAACUGAGAGGCUUGAGUGUGCCAGAGGGGGGUGGAAUUCCACGUGUAGCAGUGAAAUGCGUAGAUAUCGGGAGGAACACCAGUGGCGAAGGCGACUACCUGGCCUGUUUCUUGACGCUGAGGCGCGAAAGCUAGGGGAGCAAACGGG
rnacentral:rRNA from 1 species